rnacentral:misc_RNA from 1 species
UUUCCGUAGGUGAACCUGCGGAAGGAUCAUUAUUGGAUUUUGAAACUUCAGGCUGCUGCUGGCUCUCCUCGGAGGGCAUGUGCACGCUUGAUGUCCAUUAUUUCUCCCACUGUGCACAAAUUGUAGACCUUUCAGUAGGCCUAUGUUGUUUUUCACAAUCUCUGAAUGUAAUAGAAUGGUUUUGAAUCUUGGGAAAUACAAUACAACUUUCAGCAACGGAUCUCUUGGCUCUC